rnacentral:rRNA from 1 species
AUGAAGCCUAGCUUGCUGGGUGGAUUAGUGGCGAACGGGUGAGUAAUGCGUGAGUGACCUACCUUGGACUCUGGGAUAAGCCUGGGAAACUGGGUCUAAUACUGGAUAUGACUUCCGGGUGCAUGCUCGGGGGUGGAAAGCGUUAUGGAGUGGUUUGAGAUGGGCUCACGGCCUAUCAGCUUGUUGGUGGGGUAAUGGCUUACCAAGGCGACGACGGGUAGCCGGCCUGAGAGGGUGACCGGCCACACUGGGACUGAGACACGGCCCAGACUCCUACGGGAGGCAGCAGUGGGGAAUAUUGCACAAUGGGCGCAAGCCUGAUGCAGCGACGCCGCGUGAGGGAUGACGGCCUUCGGGUUGUAAACCUCUGUUAGCACUGAAGAAGCGAAAGUGACGGUAGGUGCAGAGAAAGCGCCGGCUAACUACGUGCCAGCAGCCGCGGUAAUACGUAGGGCGCGAGCGUUGUCCGGAAUUAUUGGGCGUAAAGAGCUUGUAGGCGGUUGGUCGCGUCUGCUGUGAAAGGCCGGGGCUUAACCCCGUGUAUGGCAGUGGGUACGGGCUAACUAGAGUGCAGUAGGGGAGACUGGAAUUCCUGGUGUAGCGGUGGAAUGCGCAGAUAUCAGGAGGAACACCGAUGGCGAAGGCAGGUCUCUGGGCUGUAACUGACGCUGAGAAGCGAAAGCAUGGGGAGCGAACAGGAUUAGAUACCCUGGUAGUCCAUGCCGUAAACGUUGGGCACUAGGUGUGGGGGGCAUUCCACGUUUUCCGCGCCGUAGCUAACGCAUUAAGUGCCCCGCCUGGGGAGUACGGCCGCAAGGCUAAAACUCAAAGAAAUUGACGGGGGCCCGCACAAGCGGCGGAGCAUGC